UCUUCUUAUAUCACUGUUAGCUCUACUUUUCAAACAAUCACAACAAAUCUUAGGGAAAUAAAUACUGAUAAGGAAGCUUUUCUUUUCUCUCUUUUGUUUCAUUUAAUUCUGUUCUUCUUAAGCUCCAUUAUGUGGAAUAACAAUACUUUGCUCUGGUUUAUAAGUAAGAUAAGACAUAAUUUUAAUUCUCAGAAGAAUAGGAUAAGUGUCCAGGGCUUUCACGUUGCAGUGGCAGUGGGGAGCACUGGUGAUUAGCAAUGCCUGUGAUGUUACAAACCGUUCUCGGGCAGUGACUUCAAGGACACUCUCAGAGAGGAACAACACUUCUUGGUCACGCCUCCUUCUAUCCUGUGUUUUUGAGCAAUGAAAAAGCAUUUAUUUGGGUUUUAUUUUUAAUUCCUAGGGAGCCAGGAGACGGACGGCUACCCCUAGACAUUUCCGUUACAUCUUCCUCACUCCAGAUGAAAACACCUGAUGGCUGCACUGACCUGGAGAUUCCAGCAGGGGUCAGCCUUGUGCCUUCCUCCUGCCGCGGGCUGCAGUACAUGCCUGGGGAAGGGCUGCAUCUGAGGCUGCAGGCGCGGGCCGAUCUCAGCACAAAGCAGAUUUCUCUGUUUAAUCAAAACUCACACGUCCAAGGAUGUUACACAUUUCAUUGCCAAUCCUGCGGUGAAGUCAUAAUAAGGGACAGGUAUGGACUGUAUUUAACAUUGAUUUCUCCUGGGCCUGGCAAGGGCU